rnacentral:rRNA from 1 species
CCCUGCAGAUUUCCCACUGAAGCUCAGCAGGGUUUGAGCCUGGCCAGUACCUGGAUGGGAAACCUCCUGGGAAAAACUAAUGUUCUGCUGGAA